UCUCGCUGUGGCUGCGUGCCGGAGCCGCGGAAUCGCAAAUUGAUGCAGAUGCUGGAAUCUCUACAGAAAACGACAAAUGCUGGAGAUCACAACAGGUCAUGGAGAGAGAGUAACCUAAAGUUUUCCAUCUAGAUGACUCUUCAUCAGAGGUUGAUUCACGGUUAGAGAAUUCAAACAAUACCGCAUCCAGAUCUGACAGUCACUCUGUUUCUCAAACUGUAAAUAUCUCAGGAUUUUGGACGUUAAAGGAAAAAGCACCAGUCACACUGGGGAGAAAGAGCUUAUCUGUAUGUGGAAGGAAGAUUUUGUGAAGAUUUAUCUGAAAUUUCAAAACACUGGCGCAGUCCCAAGGGAGAGACUGUUGAAAUGCAGGGAUUGUGGGAAGGCAUUUCUUUAUCCUUACUAGAUGAAAAUUCAUCAGUGCAGUCACACUGGAGAGAGACCAUUCACCUGCUCUGAUUGUGGAAAGGGAUUCACUUCAUCAUCCAGCCCACUGAAACACCAGCAAAUUCACAUUGGGGAGAAACUAUUCACCUGUUCUGAAUAUGGGAAAGGAUUCACUCACUCAUCUAAACUGCUGACACACCACCAAGUUCACACUGGAGAGAGAGCAUUCGCCUGCUCCAAUUGUGAGUAAGUCUUCAUUCAGUUAUCCCACCUGUUGAUACAGCAGCACAUUCACACUGGGGAGAAACCGUUCACCUGCUCCCAGCAUAGGAAAAGAUUCACUUAGUCAUCUAAACUGGUGAAACACCAGCAGGUUUACACUGGAGAGAAAUCAUUUACAUGCUCUGAUUAUGGGAAACAAUUCAGUCAGUCAUCCAGCGUACUGAGACACCAACGAGUUCACACGGGAGAAACCAUCCAAUUGAGCUGAUUGUGGAAAGGGAUUUAUGCACUCAAACCAUUUGCUGAAACACGAGCAAAUUCAUACUAGAGAAAGACUAUUCACCUGCGAUGUGUGUUGAAAGGGAUUCACUCUAUCAAACUGUUAACACCACUGAAUUUAUUCUGGAUGGAUACUGUUCACCUGCGUUUUGUGAAAAAGGCUGUGCUGUUUGCUAACACCAGCAAAUUCACAAAGAAGCACACUUGAAGAAAUUCACCCUUACUCAUACCAAGUAAUGAACUGUAGUCAUUUGUACUAAUGUUAUUAAAUCCUGCUGUAUUAAGUGCUGAUAUUGUAGAUAAAAUGUAAAUAUAACUGUAUAUCUGCAGGGCAUAUUUUGGAAUUGAGCAUAACAUUGCUGUACAUCAAGUUCAUGCUGAGUAAAGAUUCUCUGACUGCA